rnacentral:rRNA from 1 species
AGUGAACGCUGGCGGUAGGCCUAACACAUGCAAGUCGAACGGCAGCACAGUAAGAGCUUGCUCUUACGGGUGGCGAGUGGCGGACGGGUGAGGAAUACAUCGGACUCUACUUUUUCGUGGGGGAUCACGUAGGGAAACUUACGCUAAUACCGCAUACGCCCUACGGGUGAAAGCAUGGGAUCUUCGGACCUUGCGCGAUUGAAUGAGCCGAUGUCGGAUUAGCUAGUUGGCGGGGUAAAGGCCCACCAAGGCGACGAUCCGUAGCUGGUCUGAGAGGAUGAUCAGCCACACUGGAACUGAGACACGGUCCAGACUCCUACGGGAGGCAGCAGUGGGGAAUAUUGGACAAUGGGCGCAAGCCUGAUCCAGCCAUACCGCGUGGGUGAAGAAGGCCUUCGGGUUGUAAAGCCCUUUUGUUGGGAAAGAAAAGCAGCAGGUUAAUACCCCGCUGUUCUGACGGUACCCAAAGAAUAAGCACCGGCUAACUUCGUG